rnacentral:rRNA from 1 species
UUGGAGGGCAAGUCUGGUGCCAGCAGCCGCGGUAAUUCCAGCUCCAAUAGCGUAUAUUAAAGUUGUUGCAGUUAAAAAGCUCGUAGUUGAAUUUCGGAGUUUGUCGGUCGGUCGGGCUUCACCGUCCGCACUGGCCUGACGGAUUCCUACCUUCUGAAUAACCAGCAUGCUAUUAAGUUAGUGCGUUGGGGAAGCAGAGCUAUUACCUUGAAAAAAUUAGAGUGUUCAAAGCAGGCGUAUGCUCGGAUACAUUAGCAUGGAAUAAUAAAAUAGGACGCGUGGUGCUAUUUUGUUGGUUUCUAGAACCGCCGUAAUGAUUAAUAGGGAUAGUUGGGGGCAUUAGUAUUCAAUUGUCAGAGGUGAAAUUCUUGGAUUUAUUGAAGACUAACUUCUGCGAAAGCAUUUGCCAAGGAUGUUUUCAUUAAUCAAGAACGAAAGUUAGGGGAUCGAAGACGAUCAGAUACCGUCGUAGUCUUAACCAUAAACUAUGCCGACUAGGAAUCGGGCGAUGUUAUUCUCAUGACCCGCCCGGCGCCUUACGGGAAAC